AAGUCGUAACAAGGUUUCCGUAGGUGAACCUGCGGAAGGAUCAUUAGAGAAGAAAAUAUGAGGUUAGAUGGCAGAUUAGCUCGCACGUUGAGAGACGAUGAGAGCUAAAGGGUCGCGGAAGCGACUGGAAAGAAUAAUGAUUUAUUCACAUAUUUAAUCACACAUGCAAAACAUAUGAGCACCUUGCCGCAAUGGAUCUCUCGGCUCUU
rnacentral:misc_RNA from 1 species